rnacentral:sRNA from 1 species
ACAACAACAACAAAAAAUGCGACACCCAAUAAAAACAACAUGUAACGGCUCUGACAUAACAAGAACAACACGGCAGAGGCGUAGCAAGCAGAUUUUUUUGGAGUAGACACGCUUUUCAGGGGUUCGCCCCGCGGUCUGGCACAGAACAAUAAAACUACCUUAAGGUAGCGGCAGUCAGCAUCGGAUCCUCAGGAUGAAAGCAGGUCAGCGCUCAAAAAAAUACGUUUGCUCUUGACCCCGGUUGGGGGUCACCCGCAACACCAAGGCAGGCCUACAAAAACAACAAAAGGCCAGCCUCAAUAAUAAGAAAAGAGCAGGCAACAACGCUUUGAGGGGAGCUUCGGCUCCCCUCAGUGCUUCCUGCCCUCCUCCUCCUGCUGUUUCU